ACUUGAAAUUACAUAAAGCUCAAUUGAUUGGAGCAUGGCAUUGAUAAUGCCAAGGUUGCAGGUUCAAUCCCCGUAAGUG